CAAUAGCGUAUAUUAAAGUUGUUGCAGUUAAAAAGCUCGUAGUUGGAUUUCUGGGAAGGCGCCAAUGCUAGCUUCUUGCUUUCGCAACGGCACCUUUCCAUCCUUCUGUUAGCGCCUCUUGGCAUUCAUUUGCUGGUGGCGGGCUCAGAUAUUUUACCUUGAGAAAAUUAGAGUGUUUCAGGCAGGCUAAGCCGGAAUACAUUAGCAUGGAAUAAUGGAAUAGGACUGAGGUCUCUUUGUUGGUUUGAGGGACUCCAGUAAUGAUUAAUAGGGACAGUUGGGGGCAUUAGUAUUUAUUAGUCAGAGGUGGAAUUCUAUGAUUUGAUAAAGACUAACUUAUGCGAAAGCAUUUGCCAAGGAUGUUUUCAUUAA
rnacentral:rRNA from 1 species